CCCUCGUUCGUUUUCGUUCAUCAUGCGGCAGUCAUGUUGUCUUUGACUAGGAUGACCGACUUGACAACCAUUACAGGAUUCCACACAAAGUCUUUCAACUUUUGGCUGCAAAGCGCUCCUGUCGUGUCCAAAUCUCUUCCCGCACGGAUAACCCGAGACGCCCGCGCAAUGAAUAUCCUAAUCUACCCGUAUUUAUCCACACAGUAGAAAAAUGCAAACCUCUGAUAAAAGUUAAUCUUUAAUUAGUGUCACCCUAACAACACA
rnacentral:lncRNA from 1 species